CAUCCAUCGAGACCGGCUGAGGGACAGGCCCUUUGAAGCCGGGGCAACCCAACGCGACGCAAGUCGUGUGAAGGUGCCAAUUCCUGCGGCCCGCUCUGCGUUGGUCGGAAGAUGGUUG
rnacentral:ncRNA from 2 species